AGAAGCAGUCGUAGAGCGCGACUGCCGCGGAAAAAAGAAAGCUCACUGAGU
rnacentral:sRNA from 12 species